AUGGCGACUAAGCUCGCAGCGCUCGUCGUCUUGGCCGCGUUCCUCGCCGGGCCGGCGGCGUGCAAGGGCGCCAUCAUGUGCUUCAACGGCUGGCUGAGGCUACCCACCUACAACCAGAGUUUUGGAUUUCGUCCGAAGAAAACGAAGUCCGUCCGAAAUUCGUCCAUCCCGUUUGGGCCCGGGCUUGGCCACGGCUACUACGACAACAGGUGGUCGAGGUUGUACUGCCCCAGAGCGGAAGGGAUUGUGAGGGGUGCCGUGAGGGACGCCGUGGCCGCGUACCCUGGCAUUGGUGCGGGGCUCAUCCGUCUCUUCUUCCAUGACUGCUUCGUUCGGGGGUGUGAUGCUUCCGUCCUCCUCACAACGACCAACUCCAAUAACAGCGACACGGAGAGGGAAGGCCUUCCGAACAAGAACAGCCUGCGAAGGUUCGAGGUGAUCGACGCGGCCAAGGCGGCGAUCGAGGCCGCCUGCCCCGGCAAGGUCUCGUACGCCAACAUUGUCGCCUUCGCCGCCCGCGACGCGUCCUACUUCCUCAGCAACCGCAGGAUCAACAUCCGGAUGCCGGGUGGCUGCUACGACGGGCGCGAGUCCUUCGCCAACAAGACCGACCAGCUGCCCGGGCCCUUCUCCAAUGUCACGGAGCUCCAGGCGAGUUUCGUGGCCAAGGGGCUCACCUCAGACGAGAUGGUCACGCUCUCCGGCGCGCACACAAUCGGCCGUGCCCGCUGCAUGUUCUUCUCCAGCCGCUUCUCUGAAAUGGACCCGACAUUUGCCGCCAAGCUCAGGACCAGUGCAACGGCAACGACGACACCAAUGUGA
rnacentral:rRNA from 1 species